rnacentral:lncRNA from 1 species
GUUCUUUUCUCUCCAGUUCUUUCUUUCUUUCUUCGUUUCUUUUGCCUUAAUAAUUUUUGGAUGUAGUUGUGUUUUUCUGUACAACAAUAAAAUCAAAGGUCGACAUAAAUCUCCCAUCAUGAUCGCAUCUUAUCCUAAUUGAAUUAGAACCUAUAACCAGAUCAUGUCUUCAAUCCAAUCAAAGUCAAUUAUGAUCAUUACAAAUUUUUAACAUUAAUAUGUUAAUAUUUGAUUGAUCGAUAAUUUCAGAUCUCUUUGAGAAAAAGGGAGGAAGGUUUAUCCGUACUAUAAUUACUUACAAGCUCCAAUACUUGGGAGUUGUACUGCUUAGGAUUCUAAUCUAGAAUUUCUAGGCAAGCCCCAGCCUAUGAGAUGUAUCACUUUCUUUAUAUUGAUUGAGGUAAUGACAACAAUGUGGCAUUUUAUAUUGGCAUGACAUAGUGCUUGUUUGUGCCAUACAUGCACCAUGUCGUUUGGAUUAUGUAGUAGAAUACAUAGGUAAAUCGUUCACUUAGUUACUUCAUGGCCACCCCAAGGUUUUAAAGAUGCCAUGGCCGUGUAGAGAACUACUAAUCGAAUGUUUUUGUUUUUGAGGGAAUUACUAAUCUAAACUCGGCCGGCAGCCAAACCACUUGCAUAUAUGAUAUAUACAAUGAAGAAUGAUUGGGGUUGUAUCAUUCGCACAAAAGAUGAUUCAUCUUCUUUCACGACCCCGACCAGUAGAUCACACCCUGCUUAGAUCUCAAAGCACUCAAAACAUUUUUAUUCCUCUAUCUAUCCAGCUCUCGAAGCAGCUAUUGCACGAUCCAAUGGUAAAUUCGUGCGAGAAAAGAUGGAUCCUUCUUACUUACGCGUGAAAGAUACAACCCCCGCCCCAUUGAUGCCAUGCCAGUGCAUACUGAAAACUGACAUUGCACCCCACUCAAUCAUCCAUAAGUAUAGUAGGCUUUGCCUCUCCAAAUCCCCACUCUGGCCCUCCAUUGAGCCAAAUAUCAACUUGCUCACUGUGAACCUAAUGAUGCAACUAUUUGAUCCACAAACCGGCCUCCACUUCCUUCCAAUCUUGAUAUAUCCAGUUUCCUUCUCAUUGAAGCAUGUAAACUUUCUGAAGCUACUGUAACACAUCUGUCUCCUGGGUUUAAUGUG